rnacentral:rRNA from 1 species
UACGUAGGGUGCGAGCGUUGUCCGGAAUUACUGGGCGUAAAGGGCUCGUAGGCGGCCAACUAAGUCAGACGUGAAAUCCCUCAGCUUAACUGGGGAACUGCGUCUGAUACUGGAUGGCUUGGAUUCGGGAGAGGAAUGCGGAAUUCCAGGUGUAGCGGUGAAAUGCGUAGAUAUCUGGAGGAACACCGGUGGCGAAGGCGGCAUUCUGGACCGAUAUUGACGCUGAGGAGCGAAAGCCAGGGGAGCAAACGGG